rnacentral:rRNA from 1 species
AUUGAACGCUGGCGGCAUGCUUUACACAUGCAAGUCGAACGGUAACAGGGUGGUUGCACCGCUGACGAGUGGCGAACGGGUGAGUAAUGCGUCGGAACGUGCCGAGUAGUGGGGGAUAACGCAGCGAAAGUUGUGCUAAUACCGCAUACGUACUGAGGUAGAAAGCGGGGGACCUUCGGGCCUCACGCUAUUCGAGCGGCCGACGUCUGAUUAGCUAGUAGGUGAGGUAAAGGCUCACCGAGGCGACGAUCAGUAGCGGGUCUGAGAGGAUGGUCCGACACACUGGGACUGAGAGAGCGCCCAGACUCCGACGGGAGGGAGCAGUGGGGAAUUUUGGGAAAUGGGCGAGAGCCUGGUCCAGCCAUGGCGCGUGUCUGAAGAAGGCCUUCGGGUUGUAAAGGACUUUUGUCAGGGAGGAAAUCCCUAGUGCUAAUAACACUGGGGGAUGACAGUACCUGAAGAAUAAGCACCGGCUAACUACGUGCCAGCAGCCGCGGUAA